ACGCACGCUGGCGGCGUGCUUAACACCUGCAAGUCGAACGGAAAGGCCCUGCUUUUGUGGGGUGCUCGAGUGGCGAACGGGUGAGUAACACGUGAGUAACCUGCCCUUGACUUUGGGAUAACUUCAGGAAAUUGGGGCUAAUACCGGAUAGGAGCUCCUGCUGCAUGGUGGGGGUUGGAAAGUUUCGGCGGUUGGGGAUGGACUCGCGGCUUAUCAGCUUGUUGGUGGGGUAGUGGCUUACCAAGGCUUUGACGGGUAGCCGGCCUGAGAGGGUGACCGGCCACAUUGGGACUGAGAUACGGCCCAGACUCCUACGGGAGGCAGCAGUGGGGAAUAUUGCACAAUGGGCGGAAGCCUGAUGCAGCAACGCCGCGUGCGGGAUGACGGCCUUCGGGUUGUAAACCGCUUUCGCCUGUGACGAAGCGUGAGUGACGGUAAUGGGUAAAGAAGCACCGGCUAACUACGUG
rnacentral:rRNA from 1 species